AUGUCCCCUUUAAAAAAUGGUUACAUCAGAAAUCAAUCAGUUUCAUUAGUCUACACGUCUAUUGUUUUACAAGGUUUCUUCUAUGCUGUUCCGACCAUUGGAAUUUUCAAAGACCAGCGCCGCAAGAACAUGUCACUGGUGGCUCAAGAUACAAGGCCCAGCUGGAAGAGACAUCUUCCCAAGGUGUGCUCGCAAGAGCUUGCUAUGGCCAUCCAAGGUCCAGGGCGAUUACAUACGCGGCGAAUGCAGAUGCAUAUGGUAAAGCUCCGUGUCGACGUGACGAACAAGCACCAGUUGGGAGCCCAGAUGAAGAAGGCUGCCGAUGGGAGAAAGAGGAGAAGCGAUGAGAUGUUUAUGGCAGCUUAUGGAUGA
rnacentral:rRNA from 1 species